AAGAUAAACGCUGGCGGCGCACAUAAGACAUGCAAGUCGAACGGACUUAACCAUUAGUUUGCUAUUGGAGCGGUUAGUGGCGGACUGGUGAGUAACACGUAAGCAACCUGCCUAUCAGAGGGGAACAACAGUUAGAAAUGACUGCUAAUACCGCAUAUGCCUAAGUAUCACAUGAUACAAUAGGGAAAGGAGCAAUCCGCUGAUAGAUGGGCUUGCGUCUGAUUAGCUAGUUGGUGGGGUAAAGGCCUACCAAGGCGACGAUCAGUAGCCGGACUGAGAGGUUGAACGGCCACAUUGGGACUGAGAUACGGCCCAGACUCCUACGGGAGGCAGCAGUCGGGAAUAUUGCGCAAUGGAGGAAACUCUGACGCAGUGACGCCGCGUGCAGGAAGAAGGUUUUCGGAUUGUAAACUGCUUUAGACAGGGAAGAAACAAGACAGUACCUGUAGAAUAAGCUCCGGCUAACUACGUGCCAGCAGCCGCGGUAAUACGUAGGGAGCGAGCGUUAUCC
rnacentral:rRNA from 1 species